rnacentral:lncRNA from 1 species
UGCAGUUUGCUUUGCCCGUUUGCACCAUCGAGAUCUGGCAACGCCGCGGGGAGACGGUGUCGUCAGGCGCGGCUUCUUGGUGAGGAGUUAUGUAGAUUCUAACUCUCCAUCCUCGCAAUUCACGCCACAAAACUAUGUCUAACAAACAACAGCACACGUUAAAAAUGGCAUUUUAAAGCUCGGUACCCCCCGAAGCUAAUGAAUGUUGUCUAAAUCAUUGGUUUUCAGCCAGGUCUGAAGCCCGUUCAAAAUGGAUGGACAAAAUGUUCUGGCAAAUCUGAACACGCUUUUGGUUCAGUUAGCACUGCAGACGCGGGAGUUGUCUCAGAAGAAGGAGGAGCAGGAAGAACAGAUACAGAUUUUCCAAGCGAGAGUCCACGAGAAGAAGGCCUACAUAGAAGAGACGCGGAAGGCCAUUGACAAACUCGAGGGGGACAUCGUGCAUUUGCAAAACACUGCACAGCGAUGCAAGGAGAGCGGCCGGAGUCUGAAGCGCGCCUACGGCCUGCUGCUCCAGUACGAGAAGAGCCUGGAAGCGGAGCUGGGGGAGAGGCGAGAAAGCUGCAGUCGUGACGUGAGAGUCCACCAGGAACGCACCGAAGACUACAGGGAGGUCCUCCAGAAGCACAGAGAGCAGUACUGCCGGCAUCCGCUGGCAGAGAGGCUCGUCGCGGUGCAGGCGGAGAACGAGCAGACCGAGCAGAGAAUUCGGGCCUGCGAGGACCAGAUCGCGGCGGCGGCGCGACAGCUACAGGAGCCACGGGAAGCCGCGGGGAGUUCAGCCGCUGCAGAUCGUGCAUCAGACGCGUGCAGUACGAUGCAUCUGGACUCGGAACGACCACUGGGACCAGCAAAAGCAGAGAUGGAGAUUCAGAAGAUUCAGAAGAUUCAGACGGACAUUCAGAAGCCUUCGCCUGAGAGCUCAGAUCUCCGCAAUGAUCAUACCGGCACUGUGGACGAGGACGUGCUAGUGGAGAGUCGAGGAAAUGCUGACCUCAGGAAUACAGAGGAAACGGUGGAAUUAGGCUCACAACAAGUGGGAGAAAGCCAGCAGGAUGUCGGGGUGGUCGUGCCGAGUGACGCAGAGCAGAUGCCACGCCCCUCUGAAGAGGAGCAAAGUUCAGAGGGAGAUGUUUGCUUCUACACACCGCCGGCUCGAAUGAAGGCCGCGGCGGACACCCCAACGUUCUCAGCGAAUGCCACACCCAAUUGCUCUCCUGGACGAUGUGAGGGUACCGAGAAGUCCCCAGCUUUUGUGUUCUCCUUGAGUUCCAGUUCCACAACUCCUGGAUUCUCAAGGUUUGACUGUGGGUUUGAUGUGGGAUCACCAACAGGAGAGGAGGACACUCCUUUCAGUUUCACAAGUUCAUACUUCAGUGAGAAGAAACCACCUGAAUCAAAGUUCUCAGGCUUUCCAUUUGAUAAUGUGGAGAGCAGAUCUGAAGACGAGUUUCAGUUUUCCUUCACACCCAAGAGCCCUUUGAAGUCUCCCACUAAUGAAGAGAAGGGAGGAUCUGGUGACGCCUUCCCCUUUUCUUUCAACUUUGGAAAAUUCUAGUCAUCUACAGCAGUUCAAGGUUGUUCGUCGUUUGAUUUAUGCAAAAAAAAAAUGUGAGCAGUAACCAGUCAACAGUUCAGUCUUAUUUAUUGUGUACAAUUUCACCAGCACGACAGAUUCAACACCCCCAUUAUUGUUAUCAUUAUAAUACGUUUGUUUCACAUUGAGGUUAGACCGAUGCUAUAAAAGUAUUGAUUUGUUUAGCUAAAAACUUGAAUAAAAGAAUCUCACAUUGCA